rnacentral:sRNA from 1 species
UUGACAGUCCUGGAGAUUGGAGCCCUUUAUCCAUACAGCACAGACAAUGACAGCACAAGUUUCCUUUUCCCCAUCCCGCAAGUGUGCCUCAUUUGCAAGGUAUAUCUCUCUAGGAUUGAGAGGGGAGUUCAGUCUCCACAGCCCAUUCAAUUGUUGGCCUGU